CUUGUCUAACUGGAGCCUCCAUAUAUCUACGCUUCAGUAUGAAUGUAACGCUAAGAAAAGUUUUUUUACAGUAAGCGCUGGUACAUAUUUUAUUAUUAUAUUUUUUGCAACAGACAAGUAGAUUUUUUAUUCACUGUUUGUCCUUUUAUCGCACAGGUUUUUCUCUUCCUAUUUUGUGACUGUUUCUUUCACAAGUACAUGAAAAUUGGUAGCUAGUGCCAAUGGAAGACAUUUAAGGAAAAAUGAUAUGCAGAAAUACUUUAUUUAUGAUUAUACCAGCAAAUGAGAAGAAUAUGAUUAUCCCAGCAAAUGAAAAAAGCAUAGCAUUUUUCAAUGUUAGUGGAGUCAAUAACUGCCAAAUUGUUUACUAUUUUUAAACAAUAAUUUUGCCUUUUAACUCUAGGCAAUUGAAAAAUGCAAAUACCAAAUUUCUCUACAACUCCAAG
rnacentral:misc_RNA from 1 species